rnacentral:rRNA from 1 species
GACGAACGCUGGCGGUGUGCUUAACACAUGCAAGUCGAACGGUAAGGCCCUUCGGGGUACACGAGUGGCGAACUGGUGAGUAACACGUGGGUGAUCUGCCCUGCACUUCGGGAUAAGCCUGGGAAACUGGGUCUAAUACCGGAUAGGACUCCGGACUGCAUGGUCUGGGGUGGAAAGCUUUUGCGGUGUGGGAUGGGCCCGCGGCCUAUCAGCUUGUUGGUGGGGUGAUGGCCUACCAAGGCGACGACGGGUAGCCGGCCUGAGAGGGUGACCGGCCACACUGGGACUGAGAUACGGCCCAGACGCCUACGGGAGGCAGCAGUGGGGAAUAUUGCGCAAUGGGCGAAAGCCUGACGCAGCAACGCCGCGUGCGGGAUGACGGCCUUCGGGUUGUAAACCGCUUUCAGCAGGGAAGAAGCCGCAAGGUGACGGUACCUGCAGAAGAAGCACCGGCUAACUACGUGUCAGCCGCCGCAGUAA